GAUGAAGAACGUAGCGAAAUGCGAUACGUAAUGUGAAUUGCAAAUUCAGUGAAUCAUCGGGUCUUUGAACGCACAUUGCGCCCCCUGGUAUUCCGGGGGGCAUGCCUGUCCGAGCGUCAUUGCUGCCCUCAAGCACGGCUUGUGUGUUGGGCCCCGUCCUCCGAUCCCGGGGGACGGGCCCGAAAGGCAGCGGCGGCACCGCGUCCGGUCCUCGAGCGUAUGGGGCUUUGUCACCCGCUCUGUAGGCCCGGCCGGCGCUUGCCGAUCAACCCAAAUUUUUAUCCAGGUUGACCUCGGAUCAGGUAGGGAUACCCGCUGAACUUAAGCAUAUCAAUAAGCGGAGGA
rnacentral:misc_RNA from 1 species